rnacentral:rRNA from 1 species
CGGAGAGUUUGAUCCUGGCUCAGGAUGAACGCUGGCGGCGUGCCUAAUACAUGCAAGUCGAACGCACAGCGAAAGGUGCUUGCACCUUUCAAGUGAGUGGCGAACGGGUGAGUAACACGUGGACAACCUGCCUCAAGGCUGGGGAUAACAUUUGGAAACAGAUGCUAAUACCGAAUGAAACUUAGUGUCGCAUGAUACGAAGUUAAAAGGCGCUUUGGCGUCACCUAGAGAUGGAUCCGCGGUGCAUUAGUUAGUUGGUGGGGUAAAGGCCUACCAAGACAAUGAUGCAUAGCCGAGUUGAGAGACUGAUCGGCCACAUUGGGACUGAGACACGGCCCAAACUCCUACGGGAGGCUGCAGUAGGGAAUCUUCCACAAUGGGCGAAAGCCUGAUGGAGCAACGCCGCGUGUGUGAUGAAGGCUUUCGGGUCGUAAAGCACUGUUGUAUGGGAAGAACAGCUAGAAUAGGGAAUGAUUUUAGUUUGACGGUACCAUACCAGAAAGGGACGGCUAACUACGUGCCAGCAGCCGCGGUAAUACGUAGGUGGCAAGCGUUGUCCGGAUUUAUUGGGCGUAAAGAGAAUGUAGGCGGUUUAUUAAGUUUGAAGUGAAAGCCCUCGGCUCAACCGAGGAAGUGCUUCGAAAACUGGUAAACUUGAGUGCAGAAGAGGAAAGUGGAACUCCAUGUGUAGCGGUGGAAUGCGUAGAUAUAUGGAAGAACACCAGUGGCGAAGGCGGCUUUCUGGUCUGUAACUGACGCUGAGAUUCGAAAGCAUGGGUAGCAAACAGGAUUAGAUACCCUGGUAGUCCAUGCCGUAAACGAUGAGUGCUAAGUGUUGGAGGGUUUCCGCCCUUCAGUGCU